rnacentral:rRNA from 1 species
GAUGAACGCUGGCGGCGUGCCUAAUACAUGCAAGUCGAGCGAACGGACGAGAAGCUUGCUUCUCUGAUGUUAGCGGCGGACGGGUGAGUAACACGUGGAUAACCUACCUAUAAGACUGGCAUAACUUCGGGAAACCGGAGCUAAUACCGGAUAAUAUUUUGAACCGCAUGGUUCAAAAGUGAAAGACGGUCUUGCUGUCACUUAUAGAUGGAUCCGCGCUGCAUUAGCUAGUUGGUAAGGUAACGUCUUACCAAGGCAACGAUGCAUAGCCGACCUGAGAGGGUGAUCGGCCACACUGGAACUGAGACACGGCCCAGACUCCUACGGGAGGCAGCAGUAGGGAAUCUUCCGCAAUGGGCGAAAGCCUGACGGAGCAACGCCGCGUGAGUGAUGAAGGUCUUCGGAUCGUAAAACUCUGUUAUUAGGGAAGAACAUAUGUGUAAGUAACUGUGCACAUCUUGACGGUACCUAAUCAGAAAGCCACGGCUAACUACGUG